AUUAGCCAAUUAACAAAAAGAAAAGAAAAGAAAAGAAAAGAAAAAGAAGCCACGUGUUUUUAUUUGGAGAUGAGAGCAUCCAGUUUCACAUCACUACUGAACACAUACUUUAUAUUUGAAGGAAACUUCUAGGUGGCAACUGAAUCAACAAAUUCAUCAUUAUUAUUUUCAAUCUGUUUGUAUGAGUUAUCAAUUUAAGAUGUACAGUUCUUCAUUAAAAUAUAAAUAGAGGA
rnacentral:lncRNA from 10 species